AGUUGUAGUCUAGGCCAAAAUAUUUGUUUCCAUUUUCUUCUUCAUAUUUAUUAUUUCUUUGGAACAUAACUUUCCCCUAAUAGAACUUUAAAUUUGUUUUUUAAACUGUGAGGAAAACAGGAUACGAAUGUUGCUAAAAGUGUUAUACUAAAUGUACCAAUUAUACAAUUAUUACACAUUGUAGGAUUUAUGUUUGAGAUUUUUUAAUUGUCUAUAAAUAUUGCUCAAUUUAUGUCUUCAACAGUAUUACAGUGUAUAUUUUGCUGCAUUUAUUUUAUCAUAUAUUAUCGUAAAAAUGUAAUAUUCUAUUAAAAAGGUAAUAUUGCAUUACAAAUGUAAUAACAUUGUAUAGGCAAAAAGGUUUAUUAUUUUCCUUAUUAAAGAUUUCUCUCUUUUGAUUCAAUAUAUUUUAUUUUGUAAGGUAUGUGAUAAUUGGGGUAUGCAUUGGUCGAGCGUUUAAGACGAUAGACUUUGUGAUUGAGUUAGAGAUAGCGCAGGUCCACAUUCUGUCUGUGACUGUAGCACUUUUUAUCAGUAUCAUCCACCUUGAACUGUAUUGAUUCUCCCCCUUAUUCUCUCGAUAAGAUCCUUGCGUAGGCCAGUGGCCCAUGAGGACAGGCAGAAUAAAACUUAGAAAGGGAUCGAUCUCUCCUGAAAAAAUUAUCCCUGAAAAUUGAUAAGAUGUCAAUAAUAUCCUCUUUAUUUCUUCCCCUCAGAGUUUAUUAUUUCACUUACCACUAGUAUACAACGAUAUUUUAAGGAUUAUUUAUAUGACUUUGUGUGUUUUGGUUCGAUAAGUAUAUCAGUUGAUAACUGAAACGUUGGUAGUCCUGGCUCGUUAGCAGAUUAAUACAUAGACUGUUUGUCACUUGUCUCAUAGAAUUAUAAACAAGCAAUAUCUAUUUAGGAUAAGUUGUUUUGAAAGGUUUUUUAUGAAUAACAAAAUAGUUAUGUCUUUAAUCCAAGAUAACCAAACAUUACAUUAAUAGUAUAUUGAUUUUUUUUAACAUGUCAUUCUGUAAAGUAAAAUUAUCAUAAGCUUAAAUGAACAUGAACAUAUACAGUCCUGAACUAGAUUACCACAAUUAUAUCAACUCAAAAUUAUUUAAAAAUUUGUAAAAUUAAAAUAAUAAUUUUAUUACACAAACUGGUCAUAUAAAUGUAAAAGAAAUUAAAAUACAGAACAUAGUAUACAUAAAAAUAAAUAUUUAUUUUGAUUUAAAUGGAACUCAAAAGGACAAAACCCUCAGAAGUUCCUUGACAUUCAUCCUCAAAUGUAAACAUAGGCCCAUUGUUCUGAAUAAAUACUUUGAAACCUGGUAUGAUUGUUUUACACUUUUUUCUCUGUUGUAAUAUUGAGUUAAUUUUGGCCUAUAAAUGGCUCUGAAAAGCUAAAGUAUUUUUGUAUAUUCAACAAUUAAAUUAUAUUAUAAUUUCCAAUGAUAAUCGCUUUAACUUGAUACCCCACAGAAAAGACUAAUUUUUUAACAUUUGGACGUUAUUUGCAGGAACGUUCACACGUAUUGGUUUCCAUGAACAACUAUUACUCGGAAUUCCUUACAAAGUAAUUUCAAUUUGGAUUACAUAUUUGAUUGAUUGACUUUGUCAUGUUUAUUCCAUAUAAUUUCCUUAUAUGGAAAGUUAAACAGUUAAACUGUCUGUUUAUAUUUUCCUUGCUUGGCCAGUUUUGCGAAUUUCUUUCACAUUAUGAAAAUACAUAAAAACAACAGUAAAACUUUGUGUUUCAUAGUUAUUUUUUAUUUAGAAUAAUGAGAAAUGGGCAUAAUAUUCCACUUAGGCACUUUGAUAUUCAAUUUUGUCAAUAUAUUUCGUAUUUAGGUUUUUAUUUCUUUCUAUCUAAACAAACUAAAGGAAUAUUCUAAUUAAGAAAAUAUUUAGAUUUUUUGGCUUGUAUUUUAAUUUUUAAGUAUUCUCAGCCUUGAGAAUCUGCUCAGCUAAAUAUAUUCAAGGAUCUUGACCUUUGGAACUGAGAUAUUUUGCUGAACCACAAUAUUUUCAGAUAUUGUCAGUCUCACAAACUGAGUUAUCUUGCUCUGACCAUACAUUUUCUCGGUAUAAGGUUUCAAAAGUAGGUUAGUGGUUAGCUUGCUUAAGCUGUACUCAACCGUCUAGGAAAUUAGGUUUUCAUUUUAAUGUUUCAACAAUAAUUACUGCUAAAGUUUCCAUUCGUGCUGAAGGAAAUAGAUCUUAUUAACCACCGUGUUGGUACUUAUCCUAUAAAGUAAGGAUAGUAUGGAUUUUCCUGUUGGUUCCAGUCCAUGCCUAAUUUCAGGUUCCUAAAACAUCUACAGUUUACACUUUAGUAAUUUAUCAACUUAAUUAAAAACAAGACAAUACAGUACAUUACGUACAGUCUACACAUGUAAUUAUUUUGGCUCUUUGGCUAACGAAAUAUGAAAACUUCACUUAGGGUACAGAGGAAAGAAUUUGUCAUCUCUUUGUUUUUACUUUGGAACUUAGUAAGUAAAUAUCCAGCAAACCUAACCGUAAGAUAGAUUUUUCUAAAGUUAUUUACACGUCUUGUAUAAACCUGUAGACUGUCGUGUGCACCUGUACACCCGGUAGUGUAGUGAGCACGUCCUGUAGCUAGUCUAUGCCCGCAGAGCCAUACAGGCCAGCCUGUCUGCGUACCAAGACCUGGACCCCGAACUGCUGGCGGUGAUUCAGCUGUCGCAGCAGCAAAGAGAGGAAGAAGAGCGACAACUGAAACUCGAGCAGGAGACACUGGACCAUGUGCUCAAGUUGUCACUCGAGGAGAAAUGACGCUCUUCUGCUGCUAGCUGAAUGUUGUCAUCUAAGUCUCAUCAACCUCCCCACCACUGCCACCGUAUGCAGUCUCUCGCAUCUUGCUGUAUAACCAGACAUUAUCAAUAAAUUGUAUUAUAUUUUGUA